GCGCGAAGGGGCGGGGAGGAAAAAGACAACUUCGUUACGCUUCGAGAAAGGGGCGGGGCCUGCAACGUCGUACUGAACGAGGGGACGCAACGGAGGCAGGCCGGAGCUGCUGCCGUCGCCAUGACCCGCGGUAACCAGCGCGAGCUCGCCCGCCAGAAGAAUAUGAAAAAGCAGAGCGACUCGGUUAAGGGAAAGCGCCGAGAUGACGGGCUUUCUGCUGCCGCCCGCAAGCAGAGUGCCCCAUCAUCUCUACCCCCAGGGACUCGGAGAUCAUGCAGCAGAAGCAGAAAAAGGCAAACGAGAAGAAGGAGGAACCCAAGUAGCUUUGUGGCUUCGUGUCCAACCCUCUUGCCCUUCGCCUGUGUGCCUGGAGCCAGUCCCACCACGCUCGCGUUUUCUCCUGUAGUGCUCACAGGUCCCAGCACCGAUGGCAUUCCCUUUGCCCUGAGUCUGCAGCGAGUCCCUUUUGUGCUUCCUUCCCCUCAGACCCUGAACAUCAUCCUACGGAUGGAGUUGAGGUCCUAAGAAGGAAGGCUGCAAGACCUAAAUUUAUGCCCCUCUUCCUCAUUCUUCCUCAGUUUGUUUGCCUGCUUGGAAGUUGGCCCAGGUCUGCUGCUCACUGACUUCCCAUGGGCAGAGCCAAGUAAGUCUUCAGUCCCUGUUGGUCUUUCCCUGCCCCCAUCUCCACCAUGAGAGCCAGGAAGGAGCUGGUGCCGCACUUUUCUGCUGGUUCCUGAGCUGCUGACUUGGAAGUCAGGCUCUUGAGCUGGGGUGAAGAUGAACGGUAGCUCCAGCGUGUCAGAUACUCUGCCCAGGGCAUUAGGGUUUUCAGAAGAGUGUCCCAGGCCCGCCUCCAUCCUACCUGAACCAGUUGGUGAGGGUAACCAUGACGUAGAGUGAUGCAAGGAAGAAG